rnacentral:rRNA from 1 species
CAGCCGCCGCGGUAAUACGGAGGGUGCGAGCGUUAAUCGGAAUAACAGGGCGUAAAGGGCAUGCGGGCGGUGACUUAAGUGAGGUGUGAAAGCCCCGGGCUUAACCUGGGAAUUGCAUUUCAUACUGGGUCGCUAGAGUACUUUAGGGAGGGGUAGAAUUCCACGUGUAGCGGUGAAAUGCGUAGAGAUGUGGAGGAAUACCGAAGGCGAAGGCAGCCCCUUGGGAAUGUACUGACGCUCAUGUGCGAAAGCGUGGGGAGCAAACAGGAUUAGAUACCCCCGUAGUCCCUGUCUCUUAUAC